rnacentral:rRNA from 1 species
GAGCUUGCUCUCUGGGUGACGAGCGGCGGACGGGUGAGUAAUGUCUGGGAAACUGCCUGAUGGAGGGGGAUAACUACUGGAAACGGUAGCUAAUACCGCAUGACCUCGCAAGAGCAAAGUGGGGGACCUUCGGGCCUCACGCCAUCGGAUGUGCCCAGAUGGGAUUAGCUAGUAGGUGGGGUAAUGGCUCACCUAGACGACGAUCCCUAGCUGGUCUGAGAGGAUGACCAGCCACACUGGAACUGAGACACGGUCCAGACUCCUACGGGAGGCAGCAGUGGGGAAUAUUGCACAAUGGGCGCAAGCCUGAUGCAGCCAUGCCGCGUGUGUGAAGAAGGCCUUAGGGUUGUAAAGCACUUUCAGCGAGGAGGAAGGCGUUGUAGUUAAUAGCUGCAGCGAUUGACGUUACUCGCAGAAGAAGCACCGGCUAACUCCGUGCCAGCAGCCGCGGUAAUACGGAGGGUGCAAGCGUUAAUCGGAAUUACUGGGCGUAAAGCGCACGCAGGCGGUUUGUUAAGUCAGAUGUGAAAUCCCCGAGCUUAACUUGGGAACUGCAUUUGAAACUGGCAAGCUAGAGUCUUGUAGAGGGGGGUAGAAUUCCAGGUGUAGCGGUGAAAUGCGUAGAGAUCUGGAGGAAUACCGGGGCGAAGGCGGCCCCCUGGACAAAGAC